CAGCCGUCACUCGGGGGGACUCUCUUUUUGGUCUCGGCAAUUGAAGAUUAAAAUGGGGAGCCACACACUUUAAAAGGGGGCUGAGACGUUACUUGACUGUAGGUUUUAUUAUCUUUUGAAUAUGUUGACAUUGGAUGAUUUUGGUUGAAUGAAGAGGCAUUUGAAGAUAAGGUGUAGCACGUUGCAGCCACACCCUUUUUUCUUUUCUUUGAAAGUUUUGAAAGUUGAAAAAUGUAUUCACGUGGGUGGUUGAUUUAUAUUUGAGGAAUUUAAAUGGGUUGAAUGCAUAGCUCCCAACCGCCACUUGUUUUGACUUGAGGGCUGCAACAACGUUUAUGUAGAGCAUUUUUCUUUCUUGAGAAAAAGUGGGUCCGUGAUGGAUUAUGGAUGAAAUGAAGAAAUGGCAUUUUAAUUUGGAAAUUGAUUUCAUGAUUCACGGUGAAUGUAGAGCAUGAUGCAGGUCUUGGGUUCUUAAAUGCUAUUUUGUUUUUAUGAAUUGAAAAGUUUUUAGGUGAUGGGAUGGGACGUUCGUAGCCAUAGGGUAGCUAGUUUUUUUUUUCUUUUCUUUUAUUUAGUUGAUAAAUAUUUGAUGGAAAGUGGUAGGUGUACGAUGCUAUGAUGCAGAGGAUGUGUCUACUUCAUUUACAAGAAUUUCUUUUUCAUUCCCCUUUGAAAAAUUACGUUGAAGCAAGACUUUAUUCAAUUCAUAAUUGCAUUUAAUAGUUGUUAUGAUUGGGCAUUGAUGUCUUUCCAUUGUUGCACGAUGCAUUUAUACUUUUUUUAGGUGAAGUUUUCUUU
rnacentral:lncRNA from 1 species